rnacentral:rRNA from 1 species
UACAGAGGUCUCAAGCGUUGUUCGGAUUCAUUGGGCGUAAAGCGUGCGUAGGUGGUUUGUUAAGUCUGAUGUGAAAGCCCUGGGCUCAACCUGGGAAUUGCAUUGGAUACUGGCAGGCUAGAGUGCGGUAGAGGAUGGCGGAAUUCCCGGUGUAGCAGUGAAAUGCGUAGAGAUCGGGAGGAACAUCUGUGGCGAAGGCGGCCAUCCGGACCAGCACUGACACUGAGGCACGAAAGCGUGGGGAGCAAACAGG